GGACGAACGCUGGCGGCGUGCUUAACACAUGCAAGUCGAACGGAGUGAAGGGGAGCUUGCUCCUUGGAACUUAGUGGCAAACGGGUGAGUAACGCGUAGGCAACCUGCCCUUCAGAUGGGGACAACAUUUCGAAAGGAAUGCUAAUACCGAAUGACGUGCAUUGGCCGCAUGACCGAUGUACCAAAGGCCGGGCAACCGGUCACUGAAGGAUGGGCCUGCGUCUGAUUAGCUAGUUGGUGGGGUAACGGCCCACCAAGGCGACGAUCAGUAGCCGGUCUGAGAGGAUGAACGGCCACAUUGGGACUGAGACACGGCCCAAACUCCUACGGGAGGCAGCAGUGGGGAAUAUUGCACAAUGGGGGAAACCCUGAUGCAGCCGACGCCGCGUGAGUGAAGAAGUAUUUCGGUAUGUAAAGCUCUAUCAGCAGGAAAGAAAAUGACGGUACCUGACUAAGAAGCCCCGGCUAACUACGUGCCAGCAGCUGC
rnacentral:rRNA from 1 species